rnacentral:rRNA from 1 species
UACGGGGGGGGCAAGCGUUGUUCGGAAUUACUGGGCGUAAAGGGCUCGUAGGCGGCCAACUAAGUCCGACGUGAAAUCCCCCAGGCUUAACCUGGGAACUGCGUCGGAUACUGGAUGGCUUGAAUUCGGGAGAGGGAUGCGGAAUUCCAGGUGUAGCGGUGAAAUGCGUAGAUAUCUGGGAGGAACACCGGGUGGGCGAAAGGCGGCAUCCCUGGACCGGCAUUGACGCUGAGGAGCGAAAGCCAGGGGAGCAAACGGG